CGUAAACAGAGGGAAGCGAGCCUGCGAGGGGGAGCGAAUCCCAAAAAUAACGUCCCAGUUCGGAUUGUAGUCUGCAACCCGACUACAUGAAGCUGGAAUCGCUAGUAAUCGCGGAUCAGAAUGCCGCGGUGAAUACGUUCCCGGGUCUUGUACACACCGCCCGUCACACCAUGGGAGUCGGAAAUGCCCGAAGUCAGUGACCCAACCGGAACAGGAGGGAGCUGCCGAAGGUGGGACCGAUAACUGGGGUGAAGUCGUAACAAGGUACC
rnacentral:rRNA from 1 species